rnacentral:rRNA from 1 species
CCCUUAGAUGUCCUGGGCCGCACGCGCGCUACACUGAUGCAUGCAACGAGUUUAUAACCUUGGCCUGAAAGGUCUGGGUAAUCUUUUGAACGUGCAUCGUGAUAGGGAUAGAUUAUUGCAAUUAUUAAUCUUCAACGAGGAAUGCCUAGUAAGCGCAAGUCAUCAGCUUGCGUUGAUUACGUCCCUGCCCUUUGUACACACCGCCCGUCGCUCCUACCGAUUGAAUGGUCCGGUGAAGCGUUCGGACCGUGGCCUUUGGACGGUUCGCCGUCUGUUGGCUGCGGGAAGUUCGUUAAACCUUAUCAUUUAGAGGAAGGAGAAGUCGUAACA